rnacentral:SRP_RNA from 1 species
GCUGGGCAUGGUGGCGCAUGCCUGUAAUCCCAGCUACUUGGAAGGCUGAGGCAGGAGAAUCGCUGGAACCCAGGAGGUAAAGGUUGCAGUGAGCUGAGAUCGCGCCACUGCACUCCAUCCUGGGUGACAGAGCGAGACUCCGUCUCAA